rnacentral:rRNA from 1 species
UCAAGCUACUAAGGGCAUACGGUGGAUGCCUAGGCACUAAGAGCCGAUGAAGGACGUGGUAAGCUGCGAAAAGCUACGGGGAGCCGCAAGCAGGCUUUGAUCCGCAGAUGUCCGAAUGGGGAAACCCACCAUCCGUUAUGGGAUGGUAUCCUUCGGGAAGGGAACCCGGUGAACUGAAACAUCUAAGUAGCCGGAGGAGGAGAAAUCAAACGAGAUGCCCACAGUAGCGGCGAGCGAAGAGGGCAGAGCCUAAACCAGAGAACUUCGGUUCUCUGGGGUUACGGACUGGCAUAAGCGAAGUCCAAUCUAGUUGAAUCACUUGGAAAGGUGAGCCACAGACCGUGAUAGCCGGGUAAAUGAAAGAUUGAAUGAGUGGCCAGUAUCCAGAGUACCGCGAAGCACGAGGAAUUUUGCGGGAAGUCGGGGGGACCACCCUCCAAGGCUAAACACUCCUUAGUGACCGAUAGCGCAUAGUACCGUGAGGGAAAGGUGAAAAGAACCGCGGGAGCGGAGUGAAAUAGAACCUGAAACCGUAUGUCUACAAGCAGUCGGAGCGCAAGCGACGGCGUGCCUAUUGAAGAAUGAGCCAACGAGUUACGGGCACCAGCGAGGUUAAGCAGGAAAUGCGGAGCCGUAGGGAAACCGAGUCUGAACAGGGCGGAUAGUUGGUGUUCGUAGACCCGAAACUGUAGUGAUCUACCCAUGAUCAGGUUGAAGCACGGGUAAAAUCGUGUGGAGGACCGAACCGGUGAGUGUUGAAAAACUUUCGGAUGAAUCGUGGGUAGCGGUGAAAUUCCAAUCGAACGCAGAGAUAGCUGGUUCUCCUCGAAAUAGCUUUAGGGCUAGCCUCAGGCAGUAAGCGUAGGCGGUAGAGCACUGAUCGGGAUAGGGACUGUAAUGGUUACCGAACCCUGUCAAACUACGAAUGGUUACGCUGCAGAGCCUGGGAGUCAGACUGUGAGAGAUAAGUCCCAUGGUCAAAAGGGAAACAGCCCAGACCAUCAGCUAAGGUCCCCAAUGCCAUACUAAGUGGAAAAGGAUGUGGGGUCUCAUAAACAACCAGGAUGUUGGCUCAGAAGCAGCCACCAUUUAAAGAGUGCGUAAUAGCUCACUGGUCGAGAGGCCCUGCGCCGAAGAUUCCCGGGGCUAAAGUAUGGAACCGAAGCUAUGGAUACAUACGCAAGUAUGUGUGGUAGAGGAGCGUUCCCAUCGGGCUGAAGUCGUUCUGGAAGGAACGGUGGACUGGUGGGAAGUGAGAAUGUUGGCAUGAGUAGCGAAAAGAAUGGUGAGAAUCCAUUCCACCGAAAGCAUAAGGAUUCCUGAGCAACGAUCGUCGUCUCAGGGUAAGUCGGGACCUAAUCCGAGGCAAAGAGCGUAGGAGAUGGACAACUGGUUGAUAUUCCAGUACCGGCAGUGAUCGUUUGAUCGAUGGAGUGACGCAGGAAGGCAGGUCCGCACGAGAUUGGUAGAUCGUGUGCAAGCGCAUAGGCUGGUCAUCAGGCAAAUCCGGUGACUGAGGCUGAGGCGUGAUGCGGAGGGAACUUGUUCCCGAAGGGAUUGAGCCUACGCUGCCGAGAAAAGCUUCUAGUGAGAAAGCUGCCGCCCGUACCGUAAACCGACACAGGUAGGCGGGGAGAGAAUCGUUAAGGAACUCGGCAAAAUGACCCCGUAACUUCGGGAUAAGGGUAGCCACAAAGGUGAAGGGACUCGCUCCUGGAGCCCGGUGUGGUCGCAGAGAAGAGGCCCAAGCGACUGUUAACCAGAAACACAGGUGCCUGCGAAAGAGAAAUCUGAAGUAUAGGUGCUGACACCUGCCCAGUGCUGGAAGGUUAAAGAAGGAUGUCCGGGUUCGACCCAAAGCAUUCGACUGAAGCCCCAGUGAACGGCGGCCGUAACUAUAACGGUCCUAAGGUAGCGAAAUUCCUUGUCGGGUAAG